GAUGAACGCUGGCGGCGUGCCUAAUACAUGCAAGUCGAGCGAACAGACGAGGAGCUUGCUCCUCUGACGUUAGCGGCGGACGGGUGAGUAACACGUGGAUAACCUACCUAUAAGACUGGGAUAACUUCGGGAAACCGGAGCUAAUACCGGAUAAUAUAUUGAACCGCAUUGUUCAAUAGUGAAAGACGGUUUUGCUGUCACUUAUAGAUGGAUCCGCGCCGCAUUAGCUAGUUGGUAAGGUAACGGCUUACCAAGGCGACGAUGCGUAGCCGACCUGAGAGGGUGAUCGGACACACUGGAAGUGAGACACGGUACAGACUCCGACGGGAGGCAGCAGUAGGGAAUCUUCCGCAAUGGGCGAAAGCCUGACGGAGCAACGCCGCGUGAGUGAUGAAGGUCUUCGGAUCGUAAAACUCUGUUAUUAGGGAAGAACAAAUGUGUAAGUAACUAUGCACGUCUUGACGGUACCUAAUCAGAAAGCCACGGCUAACUACGUG
rnacentral:rRNA from 1 species